rnacentral:rRNA from 1 species
GGGUUGUGAGGUUAAGCGACUAAGCGUACACGGUGGAUGCCCUGGCAGUCAGAGGCGAUGAAGGACGUGCUAAUCUGCGAUAAGCGUCGGUAAGGUGAUAUGAACCGUUAUAACCGGCGAUUUCCGAAUGGGGAAACCCAGUGUGUUUCGACACACUAUCAUUAACUGAAUCCAUAGGUUAAUGAGGCGAACCGGGGGAACUGAAACAUCUAAGUACCCCGAGGAAAAGAAAUCAACCGAGAUUCCCCCAGUAGCGGCGAGCGAACGGGGAGCAGCCCAGAGCCUGAAUCAGUGUGUGUGUUAGUGGAAGCGUCUGGAAAGGCGCGCGAUACAGGGUGACAGCCCCGUACACAAAAAUGCACAUGCUGUGAGCUCGAUGAGUAGGGCGGGACACGUGGUAUCCUGUCUGAAUAUGGGGGGACCAUCCUCCAAGGCUAAAUACUCCUGACUGACCGAUAGUGAACCAGUACCGUGAGGGAAAGGCGAAAAGAACCCCGGCGAGGGGAGUGAAAAAGAACCUGAAACCGUGUACGUACAAGCAGUGGGAGCACGCUUAGGCGUGUGACUGCGUACCUUUUGUAUAAUGGGUCAGCGACUUAUAUUCUGUAGCAAGGUUAACCGAAUAGGGGAGCCGAAGGGAAACCGAGUCUUAACUGGGCGUUAAGUUGCAGGGUAUAGACCCGAAACCCGGUGAUCUAGCCAUGGGCAGGUUGAAGGUUGGGUAACACUAACUGGAGGACCGAACCGACUAAUGUUGAAAAAUUAGCGGAUGACUUGUGGCUGGGGGUGAAAGGCCAAUCAAACCGGGAGAUAGCUGGUUCUCCCCGAAAGCUAUUUAGGUAGCGCCUCGUGAAUUCAUCUCCGGGGGUAGAGCACUGUUUCGGCAAGGGGGUCAUCCCGACUUACCAACCCGAUGCAAACUGCGAAUACCGGAGAAUGUUAUCACGGGAGACACACGGCGGGUGCUAACGUCCGUCGUGAAGAGGGAAACAACCCAGACCGCCAGCUAAGGUCCCAAAGUCAUGGUUAAGUGGGAAACGAUGUGGGAAGGCCCAGACAGCCAGGAUGUUGGCUUAGAAGCAGCCAUCAUUUAAAGAAAGCGUAAUAGCUCACUGGUCGAGUCGGCCUGCGCGGAAGAUGUAACGGGGCUAAACCAUGCACCGAAGCUGCGGCAGCGACGCUUAUGCGUUGUUGGGUAGGGGAGCGUUCUGUAAGCCUGCGAAGGUGUGCUGUGAGGCAUGCUGGAGGUAUCAGAAGUGCGAAUGCUGACAUAAGUAACGAUAAAGCGGGUGAAAAGCCCGCUCGCCGGAAGACCAAGGGUUCCUGUCCAACGUUAAUCGGGGCAGGGUGAGUCGACCCCUAAGGCGAGGCCGAAAGGCGUAGUCGAUGGGAAACAGGUUAAUAUUCCUGUACUUGGUGUUACUGCGAAGGGGGGACGGAGAAGGCUAUGUUGGCCGGGCGACGGUUGUCCCGGUUUAAGCGUGUAGGCUGGUUUUCCAGGCAAAUCCGGAAAAUCAAGGCUGAGGCGUGAUGACGAGGCACUACGGUGCUGAAGCAACAAAUGCCCUGCUUCCAGGAAAAGCCUCUAAGCAUCAGGUAACAUCAAAUCGUACCCCAAACCGACACAGGUGGUCAGGUAGAGAAUACCAAGGCGCUUGAGAGAACUCGGGUGAAGGAACUAGGCAAAAUGGUGCCGUAACUUCGGGAGAAGGCACGCUGAUAUGUAGGUGAAGUCCCUUGCGGAUGGAGCUGAAAUCAGUCGAAGAUACCAGCUGGCUGCAACUGUUUAUUAAAAACACAGCACUGUGCAAACACGAAAGUGGACGUAUACGGUGUGACGCCUGCCCGGUGCCGGAAGGUUAAUUGAUGGGGUCAGCGCAAGCGAAGCUCUUGAUCGAAGCCCCGGUAAACGGCGGCCGUAACUAUAACGGUCCUAAGGUAGCGAAAUUCCUUGUCGGGUAAGUUCCGACCUGCACGAAUGGCGUAAUGAUGGCCAGGCUGUCUCCACCCGAGACUCAGUGAAAUUGAACUCGCUGUGAAGAUGCAGUGUACCCGCGGCAAGACGGAAAGACCCCGUGAACCUUUACUAUAGCUUGACACUGAACAUUGAGCCUUGAUGUGUAGGAUAGGUGGGAGGCUUUGAAGUGUGGACGCCAGUCUGCAUGGAGCCGACCUUGAAAUACCACCCUUUAAUGUUUGAUGUUCUAACGUUGACCCGUAAUCCGGGUUGCGGACAGUGUCUGGUGGGUAGUUUGACUGGGGCGGUCUCCUCCUAAAGAGUAACGGAGGAGCACGAAGGUUGGCUAAUCCUGGUCGGACAUCAGGAGGUUAGUGCAAUGGCAUAAGCCAGCUUGACUGCGAGCGUGACGGCGCGAGCAGGUGCGAAAGCAGGUCAUAGUGAUCCGGUGGUUCUGAAUGGAAGGGCCAUCGCUCAACGGAUAAAAGGUACUCCGGGGAUAACAGGCUGAUACCGCCCAAGAGUUCAUAUCGACGGCGGUGUUUGGCACCUCGAUGUCGGCUCAUCACAUCCUGGGGCUGAAGUAGGUCCCAAGGGUAUGGCUGUUCGCCAUUUAAAGUGGUACGCGAGCUGGGUUUAGAACGUCGUGAGACAGUUCGGUCCCUAUCUGCCGUGGGCGCUGGAGAAUUGAGGGGGGCUGCUCCUAGUACGAGAGGACCGGAGUGGACGCAUCACUGGUGUUCGGGUUGUCAUGCCAAUGGCACUGCCCGGUAGCUAAAUGCGGAAGAGAUAAGUGCUGAAAGCAUCUAAGCACGAAACUUGCCCCGAGAUGAGUUCUCCCUGACUCCUUGAGAGUCCUGAAGGAACGUUGAAGACGACGACGUUGAUAGGCCGGGUGUGUAAGCGCAGCGAUGCGUUGAGCUAACCGGUACUAAUGAACCGUGAGGCUUAACCUUACAACGCCGAAGGUGUUU